GAGGAAGUUGUUUAAAACAGACUGGAAACGAUAUAGUCCGUAUGAACACCAUCUAUCAGCCCAGCUCCAUUGUUAUGAACAAACCAGCAAGGAAUGUCAAUGCCGUGCUUAGGAUCCCUUCUGUAAUCCUUCUGCCAGCCCCUGAAAGGGAAAAUACAGGCAUGGAAGUAUCAAAGCAGAAACUGCACUUUGACGAGCAUUUCCCAUGAUGUAUGGACCCAAUGUGUGCUACCACUGAUACCUUGGCUCACUCUCCUCAGGCCUCAAAUGCCAUGCUUUGAGAAGGUAGUCAUUUUGUUCCAGGCACACAAUGAAAAUGUAAAUGAGGAGGAGGAGCUGCUGCCCAUUCUUUUUCUUAAACUUCCCUUUGC